rnacentral:rRNA from 1 species
UACAGAGGAGCCAAGCGUUGUCCGGAUUGACUGGGCGUAAAGCGCACGCAGGCGGAUGCGCGCGUGGGGGGUGAAAUCUGGCCGCUUAACGGCCAGGCGCCAUCCCAUACGGCGCGUCUGGAGUGAUGCAGAGGUCGAUGGAAUUGCCGGUGUAGUGGUGAAAUGCGUAGAGAUAGGCAGGAACACCCAGGGGGAAACCAGUCGACUGGGCAUCUACUGACGCUGAGGUGCGAGAGCGUGGGGAGCGAUCCGG